rnacentral:rRNA from 1 species
CCUACGGCAGGCUGCAGUCGAGAAUCAUGCACAAUGGGGGAAACCCUGAUGGGGCGACGCCGCGUGGGGGAAUGAAGGUCUGCGGAUUGUAAACACCUGUCAUGUGGGAGCAAAUUAAAAAGAUAGUACCACAAGAGGAAGAGACGGCUAACUCUGUGCCAGCAGCCGCGGUAAUACAGAGGGCUCAAGCGUUGUUGGGAAUCACUGGGUGUAAAGCGUGCGGAGGCUGUUUCGUAAGUCGUGUGUGAAAGGCGCGGGCUCAACCUGCGGACGGCACAUGAUACUGCGAGCCUAGAGUAAUGGAGGGGGAACCGGAAUUCUCGGUGUAGCCGUGAAAUGCGUAGAUAUCGAGAGGAACACUCGUGGCGAAGGCGGGUUCCUGGACAUUAACUGACGCUGAGGCACGAAGGCCCGGGGAGCGAAAGGGAUUAGAUACCCCUGUAGUC